GGAGAGGUGUCCGAGUGGCCGAAGGAGCACGCCUGGAAAGCGUGUAUACCAGAAAGGGUUUCGAGGGUUCGAAUCCCUCCCUCUCCGCCA
rnacentral:tRNA from 1 species